UCAUUCCACAAUGGAAAAAAUUCAGGACAGUUGCCAGCUUUCAAAGUAGUGGAUUUUCUAAAACACACACGAGACUGUCAAGUGCUCAGAUAAACCGCAAAAACACCAACAGCUACAUCUACAGCAGAAUGGCUGAGAAAGAAAAGAACCAUUGUCAUGGUCCAGUCAUCAACCCAAAUGAAAUUAAUGCCACACAACCCGUCUAUGGGCCAGGUCAUAGUGUAGUGGGUUAGAUUUGGUAGAUGGUUUUUGCAUGGUGUCUUUGAAUGCCGCAUGAACAUUCACCCCUCCCUUGCUGUUAAUCAGAGCCGGGUUAUAAGGAGCAGCUAUAGCCUGUUCCUUGCAUUCAUUCCUGUUGAAGGUGGUGAAGAUCACAGGCUGUUUUUAGUGGAGAUACAGUUGCUUGUUGUGGGGGCUAGCCAUCUGUGGUGGAAUUUCCCCCCCUGGGAAACAAGUAUAACGCACCAUUUAAGUUGCAGUGAGGAUUGCAGAGAGACUACACUGGUGGUGUUGUCAACACCAUGUAGUUACCUUUACCAGGUUUCCUCCUGCACGCCACCACAAUAGCAUCAAUGCAGCACUUGGUUUCCCCCAGACCCAAGAAGCGACACGCGAUUGUGAUGUAAUGACAAUCACUUGACAUUACAUGGCGUUUAUUUACAAAGUAGUGGGGAAAGCAACAAGACAGGAGUGCCAACACUUUGGGGUGAGCUGAGGCCAAAAUAAUGAAGAAAACAAAGCUAAGCUCCAAUGCCCAUAACCUCAGAAAAAGUACCAAAACAAAGACAGUCUGACCUCCUUGUCCUAUCCAAAAACAGGAGAAAACUAUGGGUUUAAGGAAACGGAAGCUUACGCCUACCCACUCCCCUUCCUCACUACAGAGAACCUCAGCCAGCGACUGUCACAGGAGCAGCUGAUAAGGCUUUAGGUAAAGGAAGUGAAGCUCUGUCACUGGCAGCUCUCCAGGCCUAGGCCCUCUCAGGGGUGGUCUUCCAACAGCUGGAACCAGUCAUUCAGGAGCCGUACAUCCGCACACCACUCACAGCUGGGCAGCUGUACAACUGAACUACCAUUACAUCCAGUGUUAACACAGCUGCCAAAACAGUGUGCUGUUCAGACAGAAACAAACUGUCUAGCACUGCAAACUUCAGUGAACUGAAGUAACCUUAUACAGAGGAUGGGGUGAAAUUCCUCCACAUUUUAAGAGACUGAUGGUCAUACAAGGAAACCACUAUGACAAGUGGUUCUACAAGCGGCAUAAUCAAAUGUACGUUUUUGUUUGUUUUCUAUAUGAUUGUUUUUAUAUUUUGGAUUUUUUUUUU